rnacentral:rRNA from 1 species
UACGGAGGGUGCAAGAGUUAUCCGGAUUCACUGGGUUUAAAGGGUGCGUAGGUGGGUUGAUAAGUCAGUGGUGAAAUCCCCGAGCUUAACUUGGGAACUGCCAUUGAUACUAUUGAUCUUGAAUACCGUGGAGGUCAGCGGAAUAUGUCAUGUAGCGGUGAAAUGCUUAGAUAUGACAUAGAACACCAAUUGCGAAGGCAGCUGACUACGCGAAUAUUGACACUGAUGCACGAAAGCGUGGGGAUCAAACAGG